UUGGAGGGCAAGUCUGGUGCCAGCAGCCGCGGUAAUUCCAGCUCCAAUAGCGUAUAUUAAAGUUGUUGCAGUUAAAAAGCUCGUAGUUGAAUUUCGGGGUUCUACCGUUGGUCGAGCUAUUGUCUGUACUGGCGUGUAGAAUUUCUACCUUCUGGGGAACUAUCAUGUUAUUAAUUUAGCGUGGUAGGAAACCAGGACCUUUACCUUGAAAAAAUUAGAGUGUUCAAAGCAGGCUUAUGUCUGAAUACAUUAGCAUGGAAUAAUAAAAUAGGACGGUGGUCCUGUUUUGUUGGUUUCUGAAUCACCGUAAUGAUUAAUAGGGAUAGUUGGGGGCAUUAGUAUUCAAUUGUCAGAGGUGAAAUUCUUGGAUUUAUUGAAGACUAACUACUGCGAAAGCAUUUGCCAAGGAUGUUUUCAUCAAUCAAGAACGAAAGUUAGGGGAUCGAAGACGAUCAGAUACCGUCGUAGUCUUAACCAUAAACUAUGCCGACUAGGGAUCGGACGAUGUUAACUUUUCUUGACUCGUUCGGCGCCUUACGGGAAA
rnacentral:rRNA from 1 species